ensembl:lncRNA
GGCCUUGCCAGAGUUGGGGUUUUUGCCUCUCUGGGAGAUUUUUCGCGUUCCACUGGCCGUUUAUUUCACCUCGCCGGUUUCCCGCGGUGUGUGGGAGUAGGGCCAGCCCAGCGCAGGCCUUGGGAGCUGCCGGUGACGCUGCGCUGGGUGUGGACACGCAGGUGCGCCGCCGCCGCCAGGGACUCGUCGUCUUAACAGUACCUCCUCCAGGAUGGUGCUGCCGAGCCUUUUUAGAUUUUUAUUUUUUGGCAGAUGGUUCAAAUUUUUCCCAUGUUCCCGUUUCCGGGAUGAACGCACAGCAGUGGGACCCAUGCUGAGGAUAUGCAAGGCCACCGAAUUACCAUUUGCUUGCGUUUGGGAGUAGCAUUUGAAUUAAAACCUAAGAGGAGAAGAACAUGUUGGAUGUACGCCAGGAAGCAAACACAAGUGGAAAGACCAAAUCCCCCUUGACCUCCCAGGCUCCCAUCACCUCGGAUCCGCCCACUCUGGGGACAGAAGUGAAGCUGUAGUGUGGACCUUCUCGUGACUGCUUAUCUCAACAAACAUCACUUCUUCAAGACUCAUCCAUGGUGCACUGGGAGGUGAUGGCAUCCCCUUCUGUCUUCUUUUUAAUUAAAAAAAUAAUUUAUUUUUA